AUACGGAGGGUGCAAGCGUUAUCCGGAAUCAUUGGGUUUAAAGGGUCCGUAGGCGGGCGAUUAAGUCAGAGGUGAAAUCCCACAGCUCAACUGUGGAACUGCCUUUGAUACUGGUUGUCUUGAAUUUUAGUGAAGUAGAUAGAAUAUGUAGUGUAGCGGUGAAAUGCAUAGAUAUUACAUAGAAUACCGAUUGCGAAGACAGUCUACUAACUAACAAUUGACGCUAAUGGACGAAAGCGUGGGGAGCGAACAGGAUUAGAAACCCGAGUAGUCC
rnacentral:rRNA from 1 species